GAGAAAGAAAAAACUAGAACUGCUAACUCUACAUUCCACGGUUGACACUGUGGCUUUUUCA
rnacentral:tRNA from 1 species